GUUUGUACACUUCUUAUUGAUUAUGAUUUUACAUCGACCUGCAUAUUUGAGAUAAAAUCUGCCAUGAUGACAAAAAAUAUCCACAUCAAGGCAGCAAUUGCAGACACUGACGGUGGUCAUGCCUGAGGCAGCAUGCCCUGCCGCCAACUGACUGGAGGAUCAAGCAUCUGUCAUACAACUUCAUCAACUCAACAAUAAAAACUCGCCAAAACCAAACUGCUCAUAAAUUAGCACAACAAUAAUUUGCACUGACUUCUGAACUUACACUUACAGACUACCCAUUCUUCAUGUUGUUGAAAUAAAACUGAUCUUGUUGUAAAAAACAAAGUUUUACAUAUAGAUUAUGACCAUGAACAUGCACGUUCUACAAACUUCACAAUGACGGCAGGCAGCUUUGGGCAUGGAUGGGCCUUCGGAACCAGAAUAUGAGCCAUGUCCAGAUCCUUGACGACAUCAGCAUUAACCUCCAGGGACCCUUCACACGAGACAUGCUUGAUCUGUGUCCAUGUAGGGAGCACUUCUGCAUUGAUUCACCCUGUUAUAUCCUCUAAUCAGUGGUUCUGUCAACCCUGGAAGAAGAAUGUGAAACGUUAGUCCACGUUUAGAAUACCCAAUCAGAAACUAAAAUAUGAGAACACAACCUUGAAGAUACCUAAUCAGUCAAUCCUCACAUUCAGGGGUGCACGAAUACAAACCACGAACAUCCCUAACGAAACCAAUCUUAUCAGUUGAUAGCAGGUGAACUGAAGACAUGCUAUAGGCUUUGGUCAGGCUUUGGUCAGGCAUUGGUGCUCAGUUCAUGGUGCUCAGUUCAUACUAAAUUCAUGACUGUUUCCAGAAAAAGGUCUGAACACCGCCGGAGCUCCCCCUGACGAAUACCGACCUGCGGGUCCCGCGCGUGGAGGAUGCUGCGUCGGGGCACGGCCGGCCGCCUCCUGCCGCCGGUGGCGCGGUGGGGUGAGGGGCGGCGCCUCCCCCG
rnacentral:lncRNA from 1 species